rnacentral:lncRNA from 1 species
GUUUGAAACCCAUUGAUUUCCUGUCACCAGAGUUGGGCAUUAAGAAGACCUAUUGUGUUUGAAGUUGUUCCAUGGAGGUUGUGUUUGUAGGCAGACAUUCACAUGUGCUCUAGCUGAACCUCAUGGUGUAGAGAAUCUCAAGUACUCCCUUCUCAGGAGCUUUCCUUCUGGGCCCACCUAAUACUUUCAUCUGGCCAUGAAGUUCAAGGGCAGGGCUCUCCAUGACCUCCUGCAGUAAUCUGUCCUACUAUUUCUGCUCCAUGUCUCUUCACAGUGAGUGCAUUCUGUUGCCUAGUUCAAACCUCCUUAGCUACACCACAGCAUAUUUUCUCUUCUUAUAGACUAGAGCAGCGAUGGUGAACCUUUUAGAGCUUUCAGUGAUACAACAGCACGCAUGCCGUAGAUUUGCCACCACUGGACUAUAGAGACCCUGACUGAGCCCCGGGUAGCUUGCUACUGCUCAUGCAAAUUUCAUUUACAGAUACAGAGGCAACACCUAAGCUUUAUUUCCCCUUAACCUGGAGACUGCCUUUUAUAUUAAUGAGGGAGCCACAGGAAGUGAGGUGGGUCCCGCUUUGCCAACAAACCCUUUAGACCCAUAAAACUUCUCAGGUAUGGUAGCUGAGUCUUGGAUUUGCAGCCUGAAGUUCAGAGAGGUGGCCUGAGCAGCACUGGAAAGCUGGGUUGGGAGCACUAAUUCCAGGCCAGAGCCAGCUCACUGUCCUCUUACUGAUGUAUGAAAUCCAGGCCACUACUCUCCAGCCAGGAGCCACAGGAAACAAUCCUGCCCUGUUAUUCAUGCCCUAGCCAAGCCUGUAGGGUGUAGGUCACUGCCGGAGAGAGGCCAGGAGCCAGCAGGUGAAUGGUGGCCCCGGUGGAGGCUUACCUCACCCAGCUGGCAUCAGGCUGACUCAGAGGACAGGGUCUCGAAUCACGGCUGCCUCCCAUGAUCCCUUUGGCAGGUUUCCCUCCAAACACAGGCUAGGCCAAGCUCUAUAGCACUUACAUAACAGAACCUACUUGUGCCUGGUGUGAAGGUGAUGGCAAAAUCCAAAAAUAAAUACUAUUGACCAAUCAUUAGAAAUGAAAUGUAAUCGAGGAGUGGUAGAAAAUGGGCAGCUCUGAUGGAUACCAGAGAGGGGCAGAGACCUGAGGCCUGUUCUUCCCUUACCCAUCAUCUCGCCUAUGGAAGUUCACUCCCGUGUCUUUGUGUAAGUAACAAUAAUACCACCAUCAGAUGAACUAUUGCCCUAUAUGUUUUUCAAAUUAUAUUCCCACGGAAAUCUGUGCUCAGGAUCAUCUGAGAGCACAGAAUAGGGUUGGGUGGGGACUAUCAUUACCAUUUCUCAUACUAGAAGGCUGAGACAGUUUAUGUAAGAAGUAGAGCUUGUUCUGAAACAAGGUGUUUGGAUCUCAAGUCCAGAAUGAUUCUCCUCUGUAGCAGUUCUCUUCCUGUUCCCCUCUGUCUUGCAAUUCAUGCUUCUUCAAGCUGCUUAGGUAAACCAAGCCAUGACAUGGCUUUGUUAGGGAUAGGCAACAUGGGUGGUUCGGAAGGAAAUACUUGGGAGUGGGUUGUAUGGUGGCUUUUAAUAGAAAUUUAGCAAGAAAAAUUAUAGAUGCUCAAUUCAAUUUGGAUUUCGGGAAAAGAAUGAGCACAAUUUUAGUAUGAGCAUGUCUCAAAUAUUGUGCAAGACAUAGAUUAUACCAGAAAUCUGAAAUUCAAAUUGAACUGGGUGUUCUGUAUUUUGUCUGGCAAUUAACGGUCCCUAAAUUAUACCAUGUGAACAUUAUUUUCAUUACUACUAAGAUUGUCUCUAUAUUAGGCUAGAAUUUGCUAGCCAAGGAGUAUGUCUUAGAAAUGAAGGUUGAGAGCUGAUUUUCAGGGUGGAUGUGAAGUUAAUUCUGUUUAAAAAGGAAGCAGGGAAAAAAAGGAAGUAGGUGGGACUGUGUGAACCCUAGGACCCUUCCACUUGAUGUAACCACUGGAUUUCCACCACCCUCUUUGAUUGUCUUGCAGUUCUUGGAUGCUCCGUUCUAUUUUUGUUUAAUUUUUUUAUUAUUAUUUUCUCAGCCUUUUUGCCUUUGUGUUUCCGUCUUUUUAAUUCCAAUCGACCCCUCUUCAAGUUCACCAACUUUUUCCUUGGCUGUGUUGAGUCUACAGAUGAGUCAGUUAUUCAUUUCCAGCAUCAAGAACCAGUUCCCAGAAAUGGACUGCGGUUGCAGCUGGGAGGGACUGGUCACAGAAAGGCCUUCCCAUGGUGGAGGAUGCGACAACUUCAGAGAGAUGAUUAAGAGAAUCUGAUCUCUAAAUUCAGCUCAGGCAGGGCCUUGUGGGAAAGGAGGCAAGGUGCUAAGUGGGUCAGGUUCUUUGAGCUCAUGAAUUUCCUUCACUGUGGCUCAGAAGUGAAGGGAAAGGUUUUCCUGCUGUUAUUCCUAAGGUACGACAGCAGAUCCCACCUGGAAACUGGGCAGAGCCUUGAGCCUGGUGAACAAUAAAUGAACAUAAAAUAUGAAGUGAUAGUCGAGGUUAGAACACUCACACCCAUAGGACAGGGGGAACGACUUGAUUUAUGAUUGAGCGCCUAAGCACAUAGCUCUGUAAUGAAUGCUAGUUCAGGAAGUUUUGCAAAGUAAGAUUCUGGAGGUAGGUCUUGGAGGUAAGCAUCCACAUUCUAAAGAUCAGAAACAUCUGGUCUUCACUGAGUGCCUACCAGAACUAAGGUCUGCCGGUAUUGCAGUAACUCUGGUGACUAUAAUGUUAAACAGAACCCAAACUCUGCUGUUGUGGAGCUUUUAGUCAAGAAAUGCCUAGGUGUUUUUCUUUAGACCUAUGUACUAAUGACUUUUUUUCCUCUUGUCAUUCAGGUUUCUGCUUCAAUAUCUGCUACUGCAACAGGCCUUUCCUAAAAUUUAGUUCCCUCUCCAUCAUCUCACACAAUCCUAUUGUCAUCACUGAGAUCUGAACUGUUGAGGAUUUCACUCCCCUGCUGUUUUAAUGACAGGCUUGACAUUCAUUUUGCUUUGCUGCCUAUGAUGAGCGUAAAAGGUACGCUUUCCGCCUCUGCUCUCUACACAAAUAGCCGAUGUGAUUUUACAACUAAGAUGCUACACCAUCUCUGGGAGUACUGUGGACUCAGGGAGGCCCUGAGAAACUCAGAAUUCAUGACCAGUGGAACUCAAGACAUCUUGAAUGAGAAUAAUAUGAAUCACGGAAAGCUCCAUGCACUGUAGGUUCGAAUGUCACAUGAAGGUUAUCUGGAGGGCCAGAAACAAUUUGUGUGUUUUGGCUGGUUGUAAAGAAAACUCAAAUUUGGUAAAAUGUUGUAAUAGCCUCAGUGUUUAAAAAUAUAGGCUUUAUACUUUAACUCUUUUAAGUAGAAUUGGUAUUGGAAUAUAUGGCAUUAUAAAAUUAGUAUUGUUAUUUGCAAAAAUGUAGUAUUUUGAGAUGUGCAAAGAUUCAAAACAAAAAAAAUAUGAUACUUCAAAUAAAAGGUAAGUGAAUGAAU